rnacentral:tRNA from 1 species
GGGGUGUUAGUAAACCAAUUACAUAGCCUUGUCAAGGCUAAAUCAUAGGUGAGAACCCUAUACACCCCA